rnacentral:rRNA from 1 species
AACGUAGGGGGCGAGCGUUGUCCGGAAUUACUGGGCGUAAAGAGCUCGUAGGCGGUAGACCAAGUCAGCUGUGAAAGCCGACGGCUCAACCGCAGGAUUGCAGUUGAUACUGAUCUACUUGAGGCAAGGAGAGGAAGAUGGAAUUCCCAGUGUAGCGGUGAUAUGCGUAGAUAUUGGGAAGAACACCAGUGGCGAAGGCGGUCUUCUGGCCUUGACCUGACGCUGAGGAGCGAAAGCCAGGGUAGCGAACGGGAUUAGAAACCCCCGUAGUCC